CUGGCGGCUGUUCUGACCUGCCGGCAGCUCAGGUUGACAUGUGAAAUAAUAUGAUAAGAAUAAAUGAUGACGGACCUCUUAAGAUCUACGAGUCAUUAAAUCGCAGUGCGAAAAUGCCACCACAUGACCUAAUGGCGGCAACCCGCUGCCUUUUUGGCUUUAACUAACAAAUAUGCAGCGCAAAGGAGAAGCAGAGAGAGAGAGACAGACGCGAGAUGUUGCAAAAUCACAGAAAUAUUCGCCAAGAAGGGAGCAGGUCCAUUACCUAAGCCUCCUCUGAGGCAAAACACCUGGGGAUGCCAUGUGCAAGGUCUUGCAAACAAUUGGAAAGAACAGUGUUUGGUAUUAAAACAGCAUGAAAGGAAAAAAGGGGAAAGGAAAUUUGGAGAGCUAAACAUUUGCAGCGUGAUCAUUCAGCCCUGCCAAAAGAUCCACCCAAAAGUGCCAGUUAAGGUGUAAGAAGAGUGCAUUGCAGACACCUUGAAUUAUGUUCCUCAUCGUGAUUCAAGAGGUUGGUGUCUGCUGAUGAACAAGAAUGCACUAAUAAAGAAAAAUCAAGAGCUUAUGCUGCACUUCUUAAUGAGUUUGACAACAGCAAGCAGAUGCUAAAGCGGCCCAUAACCGAAAACUUUGAAACCGAGGUUUACGUGUACCUGAUUUUGAACUCAAUCACAGAAGUGAAUGAAAAAGCUCAGAGCAUCUCAACACAAGUAAUAAUUGAAUUUGUUUGGCAAACAGAAUUGUCAUGGAAAACAGAAGACUUUUGUUACAUUGACUCAUUUGCAACUCAAAAACAUAUGUUUUGGACACCAGACAUUGUUGUUACAGAAAGUGUCAAGACAGAGGAUGAAGUGAAGGAGUCUCCAUAUGUGCAAUUAUAUUGGGAUGGCUAUAUUUUGACAAUGGAUAUUUUAUCUAUGACCACAAACUGUAAGAUGGAUCUCUACAACUUUCCAUUUGACAUACAAAUCUGCAAUAUAACUCUUCGAUCUUUAACCU